rnacentral:lncRNA from 1 species
CGCGCUCCACCUCGACGCGGGCUUUGUCGUUGGUUAGCUGGUCCACCUGCCGGCGCAGCUCCCGCAUCUCCUCCUCGUAGAGGUCCCCCAGGCGCGACUUGCCUUGGCCCUUGAGCUGCUCGAGCUCGGCCAGCAGGAUCUUAUUCUGCUGCUCCAGGAAGCGCACCUUGUCGAUGUAGUUGGCGAAGCGGUCAUUCAGCUCCUGCAGCUCCACCUUCUCGUUGGUGCGGGUGUUCUUGAACUCGGUGUUGAUGGCGUCGGCCAGCGAGAAGUCCACCGAGUCCUGCAGGAGCCGCACCCCGGGCACGCUGCUCCGCAGGCGCACGGCAGAGGAGCGCGUGGCAUACACGCCGCCCGGGGACGAGGCGUAGAGGCUGCGGCUGGUGCUGGGGCGCAGCGCGCUGCCCAGGCUGUAGGUGCGGGUGGACGUAGUCACGUAGCUCCGGCUGGAGCUCGGCCGGCUCGCGGUGCCCGGGCCGCCGAACAUCCUGCGGUAGGAGGACGAGGACACGGACCUGGUGGACAUGGCUGCGGAGGGUGGCGAUGGCCUGGGCGGCGGCGGUGGCGCGGACUGGCUCCCGGAGAAGAGGCGAACGAGGGCGCGACAGCAAAGCUCCCUUUGGAUGACAUAGAUUUAUUACUUAGUAGUAUAUUAUGUAUUGGCUGUCCCACAUUUUGAAAUUUAAUGGACUCGUGGUGAUCAGAAUAAAAGAAGCCUUCGAUGUGAGGCCCAGGCAUUGAGUACCAUGUGUGCGAUUCACAAGCCUUGGCAUCUGAACAAUUUUUUGGAAGGAUCCAUCAGGACAACACGUCGGGGGUGUACUAGUGAAGUGAUUUUCCAAAUGUGCUACUCAGACCUGUAGCAUCAGCAUCACCGGAUAAUUUGUUAGAAAUUCCAACUGUUAGGCCCCACUUUAGACCAACUGAAUGUGAAACUCUGGGAGUACGUGGGGCCCAGCAAUUUGUGUUUUUACAAGACUUACCAGGUGAUUCUGAGAACCACUGUGCUAGUGAAUUGUUCCUGUCUGUGGCCACGUAGAAUAAGAAAACCAUAGGGUUGGAAAAUGGGGAAACUGACCCUUGCCAAUCCCCAGGCCGCGAGGCCCUCUGAAGCCCUGAGCCUGGAGCGGUAGGAGACGGG